rnacentral:rRNA from 1 species
UACAUGGGGUGCAAACGUUGCUCGGAAUCAUUGGGCGUAAAGCGCGCGUAGGCGGUUGCUUAAGUCGGAUGUGAAAGCCCUCGGCUUAACUGAGGAAGUGCAUCCGAAACUGAGCAGCUAGAGUACGAAAGAGGGUCGCGGAAUUCCCGGUGUAGAGGUGAAAUUCGUAGAUAUCGGGAGGAACACCGGUGGCGAAGGCGGGCGACCUGGUCGGAGACCUGACGCUGAGCGCGAAGCGUGGGAGCGAA